GGUUGGAUAGCUUAGUCAGCAGAGAAUGAGAUUUUUAAUCUCAGGGUCAUGGGUUUGAGACUCACAUUGUGGUGCCUUCCAACUC